rnacentral:rRNA from 1 species
UGCCAGCAGCCGCGGUAAUACAGAGACCCCGAGCGUUGACCGGAUUUAUUGGGUUUAAAGGGUGCGCAGGCGGAACUUUAAGUCAGUGGUGAAAUCUUGCCGCUUAACGGUAAAAUUGCCAUUGAUACUGAAGUUCUUGAAUGUAGUUGAGGUAGGCGGAAUGUGUUGUGUAGCGGUGAAAUGCAUAGAUAUGACACAGAACGCCAAUUGCGAAGGCAGCUUACUAAGCUACGAUUGACGCUGAGGCACGAAAGCGUGGGGAGCGAACAGGAUUAGAUA